CCUACGGGGGGCUGCAGUGGGGAAUAUUGGACAAUGGGGGGAACCCUGAUCCAGCCAUGCCGCGUGUGUGAAGAAGGCCCUCGGGUUGUAAAGCACUUUCAGUGAGGAAGAACGCCUGGUGGUUAAUACCCAUCAGGAAAGACAUCACUCACAGAAGAAGCACCGGCUAACUCCGUGCCAGCAGCCGCGGUAAUACGGAGGGUGCGAGCGUUAAUCGGAAUUACUGGGCGUAAAGCGCGCGUAGGUGGCUUGAUAAGCCGGUUGUGAAAGCCCCGGGCUCAACCUAGGAACGGCAUCCGGAACUGUCAAGCUAGAGUGCAGGAGAGGAAGGUAGAAUUCCCGGUGUAGCGGUGAAAUGCGUAGAGAUCGGGAGGAAUACCAGUGGCGAAGGGGGCCUUCUGGACUGACACUGACACUGAGGUGCGAAAGCGUGGGUAGCAAACAGGAUUAGAUACCCGGGUAGUC
rnacentral:rRNA from 1 species